rnacentral:hammerhead_ribozyme from 1 species
AUCCAGAUGACGAAUCCCAAAUAGGACGAAAUGCGCAUCCUAGAU